GACGGGCAGAAGUCGAGGGCUAGGAGCCUCCGCCGGCGCACGCUGGGGAACAGGAAAGUAUUUUAUCAUAAGAAUUCGUAGAAGUAGAAUCUGUUUGUCUUCAGUUAAACAAAAGAAGAACCUCAUUGCUUUCCAACUGGGCCCCAGCCAUUUUCCAGUUGAAACAUCAAACAUUUUAUUUGGUUCUUUCACUGCCAAUUAAAGGACAACAGAAAUGGUACAGGCUCCCUCUGCAGUGGGAUUACCCUUAUGUCUUCUCUGUCUAUGCUGAUCCACCUAAUCUUGAACUGGUGCUGUUCCAUGGGGAAAACUGGAACACGGGGCAAUUAGCACUUUCUUCACUUUAUCCCAUCAACAGGAAAUUGAAAUAUAACCAACUAACUCAGGAAACAUGGAAGAUGUCACACAGUGAAUGAUGAUUAAGCAGAAUUUUUAAAAUGUGUAGGAUUAUGAGAAGUGGGGUCAUUUUUCUUUGUGUAUGGUAUUGCUGAUGCAGUUUAAUACUCCAUUACUUCUAAAUUUUCACCAUAAGCUAGAUUUUCCAGUUGUGGUUUCUAUAAAGAAAAACAAACAUUCUGAAGACAGUUUUUCCAGAUUUAUUCUAGAUAUCGAUGAUUAACUUUCGAAU
rnacentral:lncRNA from 1 species